CUAAGUUUGAUGGCGACCGGCGCACGGGUGAGUAACGCGUAUCCAACCUGCCGAUGACUCGGGGAUAGCCUUUCGAAAGAAAGAUUAAUACCCGAUGGCAUAGUUCUUCCGCAUGGUAGAACUAUUAAAGAAUUUCGGUCAUCGAUGGGGAUGCGUUCCAUUAGGUUGUUGGCGGGGUAACGGCCCACCAAGCCUUCGAUGGAUAGGGGUUCUGAGAGGAAGGUCCCCCACAUUGGAACUGAGACACGGUCCAAACUCCUACGGGAGGCAGCAUG
rnacentral:rRNA from 1 species